CGGGUGAGUAACACGUGAGUGACCUGCCUUUUAGACUGGAACAACUUACCGAAAGGUGAGCUAAUGCCGGAUGAGUUAUAUAAGUGCAUGUUUAUAUAGGAAAAGUUGGGGAGACCUGACGCUGAAAGAUGGACUCGCGUCCCAUUAGCUAGUUGGUAGGGUAAUGGCCUACCAAGGCGACGAUGGGUAGCCGGCCUGAGAGGGUGAACGGCCACAUUGGGACUGAGACACGGCCCAAACUCCUACGGGAGGCAGCAG
rnacentral:rRNA from 1 species